AGAUCUCAGAGGAGCCUACAAGCAAGUGAGAAUUAAGGAAGGCAAUGAAUGGAAUAUGGCCUUUAAAAGUCACAAUGGGCAUUACGAUUAUGCAGUGAAGCCUUUCAGUCCUUGCAAUGUCCCUGCCAUCUUUCAAGCAUUCGUCAAUGAUAUGCCUAGUGAUUUAAUUUUUUUCAUUCUUAUGUGAUAGUUUAUUUGGACAAUAUCUUACCUAUUCCACAAACUUUGAGACUCAACACCAACAUAUACGCCAAAUCUUCAUUAGGUUGUUAGAGAAUAGGUUAUAGUACAAACUAGAAAAAAGCCUUUUUGAUAUUAUCUCCCCUUCCCAACCAGUUAACAGUUGUAUGAG